UACGGAGGGGGCGAGCGUUAUUCGGAAUUAUUGGGCGUAAAGGGCGCGUAGGCGGUGCGGUAAGUCCGCAGUGAAAUCUCUGGGCUCAACUCAGAGUCUGCUGUGGAAACUGCCGUGCUUGAGUUCGGGAGAGGGAUGCGGAAUUCCAGGUGUAGCGGUGAAAUGCGCAGAUAUCGGGAAGAACACCCGUGGCGAAGGCGGCUCUCUGGAACGCAACUGACGCUGAGACGCGAAAAGCGUGGGGGAGCAAACAGG
rnacentral:rRNA from 1 species